GAUGAACGCUGGCGGCGUGCCUAAUACAUGCAAGUAGAACGCUGAAGGAGGAGCUUGCUCUUCUGGAUGAGUUGCGAACGGGUGAGUAACGCGUAGGUAACCUGCCUGGUAGCGGGGGAUAACUAUUGGAAACGAUAGCUAAUACCGCAUGACAACAGUUAUUCCAUGAUAACUGUUUAAAAGGGGCAACUGCUCCACUACCAGAUGGACCUGCGUUGUAUUAGCUAGUUGGUGAGGUAACGGCUCACCAAGGCGACGAUACAUAGCCGACCUGAGAGGGUGAUCGGCCACACUGGGACUGAGACACGGCCCAGACUCCUACGGGAGGCAGCAGUAGGGAAUCUUCGGCAAUGGACGGAAGUCUGACCGAGCAACGCCGCGUGAGUGAAGAAGGUUUUCGGAUCGUAAAGCUCUGUUGUAAGAGAAGAACGAGUGUGAGAGUGGAAAGUUCACACUGUGACGGUAUCUUACCAGAAAGGGACGGCUAACUACGUG
rnacentral:rRNA from 1 species